GUAAGGAAUAUUGGUCAAUGGACGAAAGUCUGAACCAGCCAUGCCGCGUGAAGGAUGAAGGCCCUCUGGGUUGUAAACUUCUUUUAUCUGGGACGAAAAAAGGGUAUUCUUACUCACUUGACGGUACCAGAGGAAUAAGCACCGGCUAACUCCGUGCCAGCAGCCGCGGUAAUACGGAGGGUGCAAGCGUUAUCCGGAUUCACUGGGUUUAAAGGGUGCGUAGGUGGGUAUUUAAGUCAGUGAUGAAAUCUCCGAGCUUAACUCGGAAACUGCCAUUGAUACUAUUUACCUUGAAUGCCCUGGAGGUAAGCGGAAUAUGUCAUGUAGCGGUGAAAUGCUUAGAUAUGACAUAGAACACCAAUUGCGAAGGCAGCUUACUACGGGGUGAUUGACACUGAGGCACGAAAGCGUGGGGAGCAAACAGGAUUAGAAACCCCUGUAGUCC
rnacentral:rRNA from 1 species